UACAGAGGUCUCAAGCGUUGUUCGGAUUCAUUGGGCGUAAAGGGUGUGUAGGUGGCGCGCUAAGUCGGGUGUGAAAUUUCGGAGCUUAACUCCGAAACUGCAUUCGAUACUGGCGUGCUUGAGGACUGGAGAGGAGACUGGAAUUUACGGUGUAGCGGUGAAAUGCGUAGAUAUCGUAAGGAAGACCAGUGGCGAAGGCGGGUCUCUGGACAGUUCCUGACGCUGAGGCACGAAGGCCAGGGGAGCGAACAGG
rnacentral:rRNA from 1 species